rnacentral:rRNA from 1 species
GAUGAACGCUGGCGGUGUGCUUAACACAUGCAAGUCGAACGGAAAGGCCCAAGCUUGUUUGGGUACUCGAGUGGCGAACGGGUGAGUAACACGUGGGUGAUCUGCCCUGCACUUCGGGAUAAGCCUGGGAAACUGGGUCUAAUACCGGAUAGGACCACUUCUUGGAGGUUGUGGGGGAGAGUUUUUUCGGUGUGGGAUGAGCUCGCGGCCUAUCAGCUUGUUGGUGGGGUAAUGGCCUACCAAGGCGAUGACGGGUCGCCGGCCUGAGAGGGUGUACGGCCACAUUGGGACUGAGAUACGGCCCAGACUCCUACGGGAGGCAGCAGUGGGGAAGAUUGCACAAUGGGCGCAAGCCUGAUGCAGCGACGCCGCGUGGGGGAUGACGGCCUUCGGGUUGUAAACUCCUUUCGCUAGGGACGAAGCGUUUUGUGACGGUACCUGGAGAAGAAGCACCGGCUAACUACGUG